UACGUAGGUGGCAAGCGUUGUCCGGAUUUACUGGGCGUAAAGAGCGCGCAGGCGGUCGUUCAAGUCGCGUGUGAAAGCCCCCGGCUCAACUGGGGAGGGUCACGCGAUACUGAUCGACUCGAAGGCAGGAGAGGGAAGUGAAAUUCCCGGUGUAGUGGUGAAAUGCGUAGAUAUCGGGAGGAACACCAGUGGCGAAGGCGACUUCCUGGCCUGUUCUUGACGCUGAGGCGCGAAAGCUAGGGUAGCAAACGGG
rnacentral:rRNA from 1 species